UACCAUAUGCUUACUACUUUAGUUAAUCUGAGGAGAGGAAUUAUGGGUGUUAUGACAGCCUCCCGCUCUCCCCUUGUGUGUGGCAAUAUCCAGUUUAGGUAAAUCCUCCGGCCACCAAAUCCCAGCAGUCUCCCCGUCAGGUGCCCAGCAAUUACUAGUGAACUUCACACAACUGGGUGAUGUAUCAUGACCUUCAACCUUCAAAGACCUGUGUUUGCUCAGUGCGUCACGAAGACAAUGGGCUGAACAAUAUGACAAGCUCAUGGUUUCGGAUUCCAUCUUGCAACACAUCCAUAAGAAACUACCUCGUGGCCUGGCGAGAUGGCUCCGACGUUAAGAGGAUGCCCUGUUCUUGCUGAGGAACUUUAGGGUUCCCAGAACUCCAGCUGGACAGCUUACAGCUCCUACCCGGUAACUCCUUCAGCUCCAGGGGAUCUGACCUGCUCCACCAGUCUCGGGGCACCUGCACAGGC